rnacentral:sRNA from 1 species
AUGACCAGGAUGUCCCUCAUCUUUGCCAACCAGGUCCCUGGUCGGCAGAGGGCGCUACCCUACUGAGCAAUUCUGCGCAGUUCCACUAACACCAGGCCACACCCUGCCGGACAACUCCAGCUGGCUGUAUUGAUUCACACACCUCGGCUGGAAGUACAGCUCAGGCUUCGUUACUGCCGACAUGAUCAAGGAGCACCUUCCUCCUCCAGGGAAGUCCACGCUCAUCCUGGUGUGUGGCCCGCCACCGCUGAUCCAGACGGCGGCUCACCCUAACCUGGAGAAGCUGGGUUAUACCCAGGACAUGAUUUUCACCUACUAACACCUCCAUGUGCUCAGCAAAUCUGCAUGUCCCUUUUCAUCUGUUUCAGAGUAAGUUCAAUUUCACCACCUUAAACUGGGAUGUUUUCAAAAGUGCCUUGCCAUGUACCUUCGCGCACACACUGGUUCUCCUCUUUUGGGUGUGGGCCUAACAAAAAGGGCUCAAGGGGCUGGAGACUGGCUGCUGGGGCCUCCUUGCUUGGAGGCUGGAAAGAGCUCCAUUUCAGUAUCUUUCUCCGUG